CUAGCUACAGGCUUAACACAUGCAAGUCGAGGGGCGAGCAGGGCGAAUAGCUUGCUAUUGCUGCUGGCGACCCGGCGCACGGGUGGAGUAACGCGUAUCCAACCUACCCCGCGGUCAGGGACGAGCCCGGCGAAAGUCGGAUUAAUACCUGAUGCAGUCAGAAGAGGGCAUCUGAUUUUGACGAAAGAUUCAUCGCCUCGGGAUGGGGAUGCGUAGGAUUAGGCAGGCGGCGGGGUAACGGCCCACCGCGCCGACGAUCCUUAGGGGUUCGUGAGAGGAAGGUCCCCACCACUGGUACUGAGACACGGACCAGACUCCUACGGGAGGCAGCAGUGAGGAAUAUUGGUCAAUGGGCGCGAGCCUGAACCAGCCAAGUAGCGUGCCAGGACGACGGCCCUAUGGGUUGUAAACUGCUUUUAUGCGGGGAUAAAGUGCGGCACGUGUGCCGUUUUGUAGGUACCGCAUGAAUAAGGACCGGCUAAUUCCGUGCCAGCCGCAGC
rnacentral:rRNA from 1 species